CCUACGGGAGGCAGCAGUGAGGAAUAUUGGUCAAUGGGCGAGAGCCUGAACCAGCCAAGUCGCGUGAGGGAGUACUGCCCUAUGGGUUGUAAACCUCUUUUGUCGGGGAGCAAAAGCCGGACGUGUCCGGCUGUGAGAGUACCCGAAGAAAAAGCAUCGGCUAACUCCGUGCCAGCAGCCGCGGUAAUACGGAGGAUGCGAGCGUUAUCCGGAUUUAUUGGGUUUAAAGGGUGCGCAGGCGGAUUUUUAAGUCAGCGGUAAAAUCGUGGGGCUCAACCCCAUCCAGCCGUUGAAACUGGGGAUCUAGAGUGUGCGAGAGGUAUGCGGAAAGCGUGGUGUAGCGGUGAAAUGCAUAGAUAUCACGCAGAACCCCGAUUGCGAAGGCAGCAUACCGGUGCACAACUGACGCUCAGGCACGAAAGCGUGGGUAUCGAACAGGAUUAGAUACCCCGGUAGUC
rnacentral:rRNA from 1 species